GGGCGGGUGGUGAAAUGGCAGACACGCCAGCCUUAGGAGCUGGUGCCGCAAGGCAUGGAGGUUCAAGUCCUCUCCCGCCCACAA
rnacentral:tRNA from 1 species